rnacentral:lncRNA from 1 species
AGUGGCCAUGAAGGCAACAUAAAAGCAAUGGUGUGCUGUAAAUAUUAAACAAGUUCUAAAAUAAUCAUAAUAAUAAUGUCCUGACUUUAUUACCUUGGUAUAAAUAACUGUCACAACUGAUUUCAAGACACCAAGGUGAGGUUCCUGAACAUGAAGUUGGAAGAGACGGCAGGGCGUGAUGGCUCACGCCUGUAAUCCCAGCACUUUGGGAGACCGAGGU